rnacentral:misc_RNA from 1 species
UUAUGGAGGUGGCGUGGCACCAGGG